UACGUAGGGUGCGAGCGUUGUCCGGAAUUAUUGGGCGUAAAGAGCUCGUAGGCGGCCUGUCGUGUCGGUUGUGAAAGCCCGGGGCUUAACCCCGGGUCUGCAGUCGAUACGGGCAGGCUAGAGUUCGGUAGGGGAGAUCGGAAUUCCUGGUGUAGCGGUGAAAUGCGCAGAUAUCAGGAGGAACACCGGUGGCGAAGGCGGAUCUCUGGGCCGAUACUGACGCUGAGGAGCGAAAGCGUGGGGAGCGAACAGG
rnacentral:rRNA from 1 species